rnacentral:rRNA from 1 species
AUUGAACGCUGGCGGCAGGCCUAACACAUGCAAGUCGAACGAGUGGCGGACGGGUGAGUAAUGUCUGGGAAACUGCCUGAUGGAGGGGGAUAACUACUGGAAACGGUAGCUAAUCCCGCAUACCAUCAGAUGUGCCCAGAUGGGAUUGGCUAGUUGGUGGGGUAACGGCUCACCAGGGCGACGAUCCCUAGCUGGUCUGAGAGGAUGACCAGCCACACGGGAACUGAGACACGGUCCAUGCUCCUACGGGAGGCAGCAGUGGGGAAUAUUGCACAAUGGGGGGAAGCCUGAUGCAGCCAUGGCGGGUGUAUGAAGAAGGCCUUAGGGUUGUAAAGGACUUGCAGCGGGGAGGCGUUACCCGCAGAAGAAACACCGGCUAACUCCGGGCCAGCAGCCGCGGUAAUUC